rnacentral:rRNA from 1 species
CCAGACUCCUACGGGAGGCAGCAGUGGGGAAUAUUGCACAAUGGGGGAAACCCUGAUGCAGCGACGCCGCGUGAGUGAAGAAGUAUUUCGGUAUGUAAAGCUCUAUCAGCAGGGAAGAAAAUGACAGUACCUGACCAAGAAGCCCCGGCUAACUACGUGCCAGCAGCCGCGGUAAUACGUAGGGGGCAAGCGUUAUCCGGAUUUACUGGGUGUAAAGGGAGCGUAGACGGUUAUGUAAGUCUGGAGUGAAAGCCCGGGGCCCAACCCCGGGACUGCUCUGGGAACUGUGCGGCUGGAGUGCGGGAGGGGCAGGCGGAAUUCCUGGUGUAGCGGUGAAAUGCGUAGAUAUCAGGAGGAACACCGGCGGCGAAGGCGGCCUGCUGGACCGCGACUGACGUUGAGGCUCGAAAGCGUGGGGAGCAAACAGGAUUAGAUACCCCGGUAC